UUGGAGGGCAAGUCUGGUGCCAGCAGCCGCGGUAAUUCCAGCUCCAAUAGCGUAUAUUAAAGUUGUUGCAGUUAAAAAGCUCGUAGUUGAAUUUCGGGAUCAAUACGUCGGUCGUGCUUUUUUGGUACGCACUGGCGUCAUUGGUUUCUCCUUUCUGACGAACCAUGAUGUCAUUAAUUUGGUGUUAUGGGGAGUUAGGACUGUUACUUUGAAAAAAUUAGAGUGUUUAAAGCAGGCAUUAGCUUGAAUACAUUAGCAUGGAAUAAUGAAAUAGGACGUUCGAUCCUAUUUUGUUGGUUUCUAGGAUUGACGUAAUGAUUAAUAGGGAUAGUUGGGGGCAUUAGUAUUCAAUUGUCAGAGGUGAAAUUCUUGGAUUUAUUGAAGACUAACUACUGCGAAAGCAUUUGCCAAGGAUGUUUUCAUUAAUCAAGAACGAAAGUUAGAGGAUCGAAGACGAUCAGAUACCGUCGUAGUCUUAACCAUAAACUAUGCCGACUAGGGAUCGGAUGAUGUUAAUUUUUUAAUGACUCAUUCGGCGCCUUACGGGAAAC
rnacentral:rRNA from 1 species